UACGUAGGGGGCAAGCGUUGUCCGGAUUUAUUGGGCGUAAAGAGCGUGUAGGCGGCCAAGCAGGUCCGCUGUGAAAACUCGAGGCUCAACCUCGAGACGUCGGUGGAAACCGUUUGGCUAGAGUCCGGAAGAGGAGAGUGGAAUUCCCGGUGUAGCGGUGAAAUGCGCAGAUAUCGGGAAGAACACCCGUGGCGAAGGCGGUUCUCUGGGCCUGUUCUGACGCUGAGGAGCGAAAGCGUGGGGAGCGAACAGG
rnacentral:rRNA from 1 species